rnacentral:rRNA from 1 species
CCUACGGGAGGCAGCAGUGAGGAAUAUUGGUCAAUGGACGAGAGUCUGAACCAGCCAAGUAGCGUGAAGGAUGACUGCCCUAUGGGUUGUAAACUUCUUUUAUAUGGGAAUAAAAUGUUCCACGUGUGGGAUUUUGUAUGUACCAUAUGAAUAAGGAUCGGCUAACCCCGUGCCAGCAGCCGCGGUAAUACGGAGGAUCCGAGCGUUAUCCGGAUUGAUUGGGUUUAAAGGGAGCGUAGGUGGAUUGUUAAGUCAGUUGUGAAAGUUUGCGGCUCAACCGUAAAAUUGCAGUUGAUACUGGCAGUCUUGAGUACAGUAGAGGUGGGCGGAAUUCGUGGUGUAGCGGUGAAAUGCUUAGAUAUCACGAAGAACUCCGAUUGCGAAGGCAGCUCACUGGACUGCAACUGACACUGAGGCUCGAAAGUGUGGGUAUCAAACAGGAUUAGAUACCCUAGUAGUC